rnacentral:rRNA from 1 species
GAUGAACGCUGGCGGCGUGCCUAAUACAUGCAAGUCGAGCGAACAGAUGAGGAGCUUGCUCCUCUGACGUUAGCGGCGGACGGGUGAGUAACACGUGGAUAACCUACCUAAAAGACUGGGAUAACUUCGGGAAACCGGAGCUAAUACCGGAUAAUAUAUUGAACCGCAUGGUUCAAUAGUGAAAGACGGUUUUGCUGUCACUUAUAGAUGGAUCCGCGCCGCAUUAGCUAGUUGGUAAGGUAACGGCUUACCAAGGCAACGAUGCGUGGCCGACCUGAGAGGGUGAUCGGCCACACUGGAACUGAGACACGGUCCAGACUCCUACGGGAGGCAGCGGUAGGGAAUCUUCCGCAAUGGGCGAAAGCCUGACGGAGCAACGCCGCGUGAGUGAUGAAGGUCUUCGGAUCGUAAAACUCUGUUAUUAGGGAAGAACAAAUGUGUAAGUAACUAUGCACGUCUUGACGGUACCUAAUCAGAAAGCCACGGCUAACUACGUG